UUUUGNCUCCCUCCGUCCGAAAAUACUUGUCAUUGAAAUGGAUGUAUCUAGAUGUAUUUUAGUUCUAGACACAUCCAUUUUGAUGACAAGUAAUUCCAGACGGAGGGAGUACUUG
rnacentral:pre_miRNA from 1 species